rnacentral:rRNA from 1 species
GACAGAGGGUGCAAACGUUGUUCGGAAUUACUGGGCGUAAAGCGCGUGUAGGCGGCUCGGCAAGUCGGGUGUGAAAGCCCUGGGCUCAACCCAGGAAGUGCAUUCGAAACUUCCGAGCUGGAGUCCCGGAGAGGAUGGCGGAAUUCUCGGUGUAGAGGUGAAAUUCGUAGAUAUCGAGAGGAACACCGGUGGCGAAGGCGGCCAUCUGGACGGUGACUGACGCUGAGACGCGAAAGCGUGGGGAGCAAACAGG